rnacentral:SRP_RNA from 1 species
GGCGGGUCCCCUCGCAUAAGAGCUCUGCUAACCUGGUCAGGUCGGGAACGAAGCAGCCACGGCGGAUGUCUCUUAGUGCCGAGGAUAAGGCUCGCCUUU